UGGGGAAUAUUGGACAAUGGGCGAAAGCCUGAUCCAGCCAUGCCGCGUGUGUGAAGAAGGUCUUCGGAUUGUAAAGCACUUUAAGUUGGGAGGAAGGGCAGUAAGCGAAUACCUUGCUGUUUUGACGUUACCGACAGAAUAAGCACCGGCUAACUCUGUGCCAGCAGCCGCGGUAAUACAGAGGGUGCAAGCGUUAAUCGGAAUUACUGGGCGUAAAGCGCGCGUAGGUGGUUCGUUAAGUUGAAUGUGAAAGCCCCGGGCUCAACCUGGGAACUGCAUCCAAAACUGGCGGGCUAGAGUAGGGCAGAGGGUGGUGGAAUUUCCUGUGUAGCGGUGAAAUGCGUAGAUAUAGGAAGGAACACCAGUGGCGAAGGCGACCACCUGGGGUCAUACUGACACUGAGGUGCGAAAGCGUGGGGAGCAAACAGG
rnacentral:rRNA from 1 species